GAUGAAGAACGUAGCGAAAUGCGAUACUUGGUGUGAAUUGCAGAAUCCCGUGAACCAUCGAGUCUUUGAACGCAAGUUGCGCCCGAAGCCAUUAGGCCGAGGGCACGCCUGCCUGGGCGUCACACGUCGUUGCCCCCCCCAUCUACUCCUUCGGGAUUGCGGGGGGCGGAUGAUGGCCUCCCGUGCGCCUCGCCGCGCGGUUGGCAUAAAUGCCAAGUCCUCGGCGACGCACGCCACGACAAUCGGUGGUUGCGAAACCUCGGUUGCCUGUCGUGUGCGGUCGUCGCGCAUCGAGGGCUCGAAAAAAUUGCCGGGCUUCGGCUCGACUUUCAACGCGACCCCAGGUCAGGCGGGGUUACCCGCUGAAUUUAAGCAUAUCAAUAAGCGGAGGA
rnacentral:misc_RNA from 1 species